CAAGUUCGAAGCUGAUGAGCAGAAGGACCCACUGGACGCGCCCGAGAAGGAAGCUGACUCGGAGUGUACUGCAUGAGAUGCUAAGUUGAAGGAAGGAAUGGACAUCAGUCAGUUAUUAUUUGGAUAAAAUCCAUGAUGUCCUGAUGGGGAGCAUGUGGAAACGACGCCCUCUGGCUGAUACAGAUAAGCAUCUUAUCUCAGGCCAAGAAAAGAAAAGAGUUAUCCCAGCGGAUUAGGAAGGAUAAGGUAGAUUAUGGCGGCAAGAAGGUGCUUUCUGUUAGCUUGGGGUUGGGGAUCAUGCCUAGGCCUGGUGUUAAUAAUGGUAAAUAAAAGAGAGAUUAGUUUGUUUAUUGUGGUCUGGUAGUUCAGACAGUCGGCUGGAUCUCAGUCAGGUCAUCGUUAACAAUGGAUAUGCUUCCUUAUCA